UCCUGCGUACUGAAACCGUGCUACGCUAUAUGGGGAUUGUGUGAAAUACGGUAGAAUAGCCGGUAAACGAUUCGGCACGAGCCAAAAGUAACCUGAAGUUCAAAGUAUAUAGUACUCCUGCUCCAUUAAUCACUCCGGCGAUGUCAAAGCCGGAAACAUCCUGCUGACCGAACAAGGUGUGGACAGGUCAGCCGACUUGGAUAGUGCAGCUAUCAAAUGCCCUGCCAAUAGUUUUGUCGGAACACCUUACUGGAUGGCCCCGGAAGUGAUUCUGGCGAUGUAUGAAGGAUAGUAUGAUGGCAAGUUGGAUGUUUAGUCACUAGGAAUUACUUGUAUCGAGCUGGAGAAACGGAAUCAUUCCUACUUCAACAUGAAGGAAAUGUCGACGCUGUAUCACAUUGCGCAAAAUGAGGCGUCCACGUUGCAGGCUACGGACUGGAAAGAUGUGUUCAGCAGUUUUGUUUUUUGCUUGAAGAAACCUUCGGUAGAGUAACCAAACUCUAGUAAACUGUUAACUCAUUCAUUCAUAACUAGG